AAAUUCAACUCCAUUUCUGUGUUUUUAGAAACCCUAAGACCCAAUCUUUUGUUUCAGCACAGCAUCUGACUCCUCUUCGUCUCUAACCUUAACGUAACAGUUAAGGUUCUUCCUUCUGUUCCUUUCACUUACCCAAUCACUUUGUGUUUUUAGAUAAACACUAACGCCCAAUAUUUUGUUUCCGCACAGCAUCGCUCUCCUCUUCUUCUUUGACCUAACACUUCCAAUAUCAAAGUUAAGGUUCUCUCUUUCUUAUUCCAUUUCCAAGUUUUCUCCUUUUCUUUCAAACCCUUCUUCCUUCUCUUCCUUUCACUUACACUAUCACUCCCAGCCUGACCAUGACAAUGUUCACAACCUCGUCUCCCAAUUUUACCGCAUGUUUCAUAUGCGUCUUGUUCCUCCCAUCUACGGAUGAAACACUAUUCUACAACUAUUUCCCUUUUUAAGCAAAUGGAGCUCAAGGGAAUUCAGAGUAAUUUUUUUAUUCUCAACAUCGUCAUAAAUUGUUUCUGUUCUUAGGUCAAAUGCCCUUCUCUCUCUAUUCUUGCCAAGAUUCUCAAACAAGGUUAUCAUCCACAUGUCAUAACCUUAACUACCCUUAUGAAAGGUCUCUGUCUUAAUAGUGAGGUCAAGAAAACUCUUAGCCUUAAUGACAAGGCAGUAGAGAAGUAUUUCGGUUUCGACCUGACGAGGUUAGUUUCGACUUGAAAGCCUUCUGCUAUUGCCUUGUCAUAAAGUCUCAAGAAUGGAAGACAAUUGUUGCGUACCUGAUGUAGUAACUUUUGAAAUAAUGAUUACAACUCUUUUUGGAGAGGAUGAGAAUGAUAAGGUAGAAAUAUUUCUUCGUGAAAUUAUAUUUAGAGGGUUGUUGACAUGAUAAAAGGAGAAGUGUGACCUUUCUGCAAUUGAUGACUGUCCUACUACGAGACGAAUUGGAUGUGGAGUUGAAAAUUUUUUAUUUUGAACUCUAGUGUUCCAUUGCUAUAGAACUUCUGUGUAUUUUUUUAUUUUUUUUGCAUUGCAUUGUCUGUCAAGACCAAAACCCUGAUCUCCCUCCAUAAAUUCUAAUGGUUUAUUUUUUUUUCAA